ACGGCGAGGCCGCGGCGACCGAGUUCGGUCUCCGCGGCCUCGCCGU
rnacentral:pre_miRNA from 1 species